CAGCAGCCACGGUAAUACAGAGGGUGCGAGCGUUAAUCGGAUUUACUGGGCGUAAAGCGCGCGCAGGCGGUUUUCCAAGUCAGUGGUGAAAGCCCGGAGCUCAACUCCGGAACUGCCAUUGAAACUGUUGAACUUGAGGACGAGAGAGGUGAGUGGAAUUCCCAGUGUAGAGGUGAAAUUCGUAGAUAUUGGGAAGAACACCGGUGGCGAAGGCGGCUCACUGGCUCGUUUCUGACGCUCAGGCGCGACAGCGUGGGGAUCAAACAGGAUUAGAUACCCCGGUAGUCCCUGUCUCUUAUAC
rnacentral:rRNA from 1 species